AUCUUAAUAAUCAUUAUCAGUUUACUUAAAAGUCUUUUUUUAGACUUAAAGUGACUUGUAAAAUAAAUGGGAAAUAAAUCUUUAGUUACGUCUUGGAGUCAAUUCGCUAUAGAAAGGAAUAAGAAGAGAAGCUAAGCGAACACCAUUUUUUUUUAGCAUAGAAGGUAAAGCGGAAAACGAAGCAAAGUAAAGAAUAGAAAAGGUCCGCUAAUAAUGCCAACAAAAAGAAUCGUAUAUUCAAUCGGUAAAGUGAAGAUAAAAGAAAAUUAAGUCCAGCUCUCCGCUCAUCGCCUCAUAUAGAUGAAGACUCGCUGUAUGCCAAAGAUCGAAAAAAUAAAAAAACACCUGCAUUAUCGCUUCAGCGGAAUCUUCCGUAGA